rnacentral:rRNA from 1 species
GACGAACGCUGGCGGCGUGCUUAACACAUGCAAGUCGAGCGGUAAGGCCCUUUCGGGGGUACACGAGCGGCGAACGGGUGAGUAACACGUGGGUGACCUGCCCUCAGCUCUGGGAUAAGCCCGGGAAACUGGGUCUAAUACUGGAUAUGACUCCACGGUGCAUGCCGUGGGGUGGAAAGCCUUGUGCGGCUGAGGAUGGGCCCGCGGCCUAUCAGCUUGUUGGUGGGGUGAUGGCCUACCAAGGCGACGACGGGUAGCCGGCCUGAGAGGGCGACCGGCCACACUGGGACUGAGACACGGCCCAGACUCCUACGGGAGGCAGCAGUGGGGAAUCUUGCGCAAUGGGCGAAAGCCUGACGCAGCGACGCCGCGUGAGGGAUGACGGCCUGG